CCCCGGUAAACGGCGGCCGUAACUAUAACGGUCCUAAGGUAGCGAAAUUCCUUGUCGGGUAAGUUCCGACCUGCACGAAUGGCGUAAUGAUGGCCAGGCUGUCUCCACCCGAGACUCAGUGAAAUUGAACUCGCUGUGAAGAUGCAGUGUACCCGCGGCAAGACGGAAAGACCCCGUGAACCUUUACUAUAGCUUGACACUGAACAUUGAGCCUUGAUGUGUAGGAUAGGUGGGAGGCUUGGAAGUGUGGACGCCAGUCUGCAUGGAGCCGACCUUGAAAUACCACCCUUUAAUGUUUGAUGUUCUAACGUUGACCCGUGAUCCGGGUUGCGGACAGUGUCUGGUGGGUAGUUUGACUGGGGCGGUCUCCUCCUAAAGAGUAACGGAGGAGCACGAAGGUUGGCUAAUCCUGGUCGGACAUCAGGAGGUUAGUGCAAUGGCAUAAGCCAGCUUGACUGCGAGCGUGACGGCGCGAGCAGGUGCGAAAGCAGGUCAUAGUGAUCCGGUGGUUCUGAAUGGAAGGGCCAUCGCUCAACGGAUAAAAGGUACUCCGGGGAUAACAGGCUGAUACCGCCCAAGAGUUCAUAUCGACGGCGGUGUUUGGCACCUCGAUGUCGGCUCAUCACAUCCUGGGGCUGAAGUAGGUCCCAAGGGUAUGGCUGUUCGCCAUUUAAAGUGGUACGCGAGCUGGGUUUAGAACGUCGUGAGACAGUUCGGUCCCUAUCUGCCGUGGGCGCUGGAGAACUGAGGGGGGCUGCUCCUAGUACGAGAGGACCGGAGUGGACGCAUCACUGGUGUUCGGGUUGUCAUGCCAAUGGCACUGCCCGGUAGCUAAAUGCGGAAGAGAUAAGUGCUGAAAGCAUCUAAGCACGAAACUUGCC
rnacentral:rRNA from 1 species